GUGGAUUAGAUACCCUGGUAGUCCUAGCCGUAAACGAUGUCGACUAGCCGUUGGGAGACUUGAUUUCUUAGUGGCGCAGCUAACGCGAUAAGUCGACCGCCUGGGGAGUACGGCCGCAAGGUUAAAACUCAAAUGAAUUGACGGGGGCCCGCACAAGCGGUGGAGCAUGUGGUUUAAUUCGAUGCAACGCGAAGAACCUUACCAGGUCUUGACAUCCUGCGAACUGCCCAGAGAUGGGUGGGUGCCUUCGGGAGCGCAGAGACAGGUGCUGCACGGCUGUCGCCAACU
rnacentral:rRNA from 1 species